GCGGUACAGGAUGGACCCGCGUCUGAUUAGCUAGUUGGUAAGGUAACGGCUUACCAAGGCGACGAUCAGUAGCCGACCUGAGAGGGUGAUCGGCCACAUUGGAACUGAGACACGGUCCAAACUCCUACGGGAGGCAGCAGUGGGGAAUAUUGCACAAUGGGCGAAAGCCUGAUGCAGCAACGCCGCGUGAGCGAUGAAGGCCUUCGGGUCGUAAAGCUCUGUCCUCAAGGAAGAUAAUGACGGUACUUGAGGAGGAAGCCCCGGCUAACUACGUGCCAGCAGCCGCGGUAAUACGUAGGGGGCUAGCGUUAUCCGGAAUUACUGGGCGUAAAGGGUGCGUAGGUGGUUUCUUAAGUCAGAGGUGAAAGGCUACGGCUCAACCGUAGUAAGCCUUUGAAACUGGGAAACUUGAGUGCAGGAGAGGAGAGUGGAAUUCC
rnacentral:rRNA from 1 species